GACGAACGCUGGCGGCGUGCCUAAUACAUGCAAGUUGAGCGCUGAAGGUUGGUACUUGUACCGACUGGAUGAGCAGCGAACGGGUGAGUAACGCGUGGGGAAUCUGCCUUUGAGCGGGGGACAACAUUUGGAAACGAAUGCUAAUACCGCAUAAAAACUUUAAACACAAGUUUUAAGUUUGAAAGAUGCAAUUGCAUCACUCAAAGAUGAUCCCGCGUUGUAUUAGCUAGUUGGUGAGGUAAAGGCUCACCAAGGCGAUGAUACAUAGCCGACCUGAGAGGGUGAUCGGCCACAUUGGGACUGAGACACGGCCCAAACUCCUACGGGAGGCAGCAGUAGGGAAUCUUCGGCAAUGGACGAAAGUCUGACCGAGCAACGCCGCGUGAGUGAAGAAGGUUUUCAGAUCGUAAAACUCUGUUGGUAGAGAAGAACGUUGGUGAGAGUGGAAAGCUCAUCAAGUGACGGUAACUACCCAGAAAGGGACGACUAACUACGUG
rnacentral:rRNA from 1 species